CUUGAGUCCAAUUCUCUACUCGGUCUACUUCAGUCUGGUUUCCAUGCACAGCACUUAUAUAUAUUGUGAACGAAAAUGUGGAAUGGUUGUUGAAGGAAGAUAUAUCAGGCCUGCUCUGCUAAACAGCAGCCAGAGAAUUUUCAGUUAAGUUUGCAAAAUACAUUGCUGAUACUAUGCAAAACACAGUAUGGUUCCCUGGAG